rnacentral:rRNA from 1 species
GAUGAACGCUAGCUACAGGCUUAACACAUGCAAGUCGAGGGGAAACGAUGAGAGAGCUUGCUCUCUUAGUCGUCGACCGGCGCACGGGUGAGUAACGCGUAUCCAACCUGCCUCUGACCAAGGGAUAACCCGUCGAAAGUCGGACUAAUACCUUAUGCAGUCGUCGGAAGUCAUCUGAUGACGACGAAAGAUUUCAUCGGUGAGAGAUGGGGAUGCGUCUGAUUAGCUUGUUGGCGGGGUAACGGCCCACCAAGGCGACGAUCAGUAGGGGUUCUGAGAGGAAGGUCCCCCACAUUGGAACUGAGACACGGUCCAAACUCCUACGGGAGGCAGCAGUGAGGAAUAGUGGUCAAUGGGCGUAAGCCUGAACCAGCCAAGUAGCGUGCAGGAUGACGGCCCUAUGGGUUGUAAACUGCUUUUAUGCGGGGAUAAAGUGAGGGACGUGUCCUUCAUUGCAGGUACCGCAUGAAUAAGGACCGGCUAAUUCCGUG